GAUGAACGCUAGCGGCAGGCCUAACACAUGCAAGUCGAACGGGAUUUAUCAGCUUGCUGAUAAUGAGAGUGGCGCACGGGUGAGUAACGCGUAUGCAACCUACCUUUUACAGUGGGAUAG
rnacentral:rRNA from 1 species